rnacentral:misc_RNA from 1 species
GAUUAAGAACGUAGCGAAAUGCGAUAAGUAGUGUGAAUUGCAGAAUUCAGUGAAUCAUCGAAUCUUUGAACGCACAUUGCGCCUCCUGGUAUUCCGGGAGGCAUGCCUGUUCGAGCGUCAUUAAAAUCACUCAAGCUUAGGUUUACCUAUUGCUUGGUCUUGGAGAUGGAAGCCAAUUUAUUGGAAUCCUCUUCGAAAUUCAAUGGCGAAGACCCUUGCUCUCCCAAGUGUAGUAAUAACUUAUGUCACUGAAGGAAGCGAGAAAUCUUCUGCCGUAACCCCCAUAUUUUCUAUGAUUGACCUCGGAUCAGGUAGGGAUACCCGCUGAACUUAAGCAUAUCAAUAAGCGGAGGA